rnacentral:rRNA from 1 species
GAUGAACGCUGGCGGCGUGCUUAAUACAUGCAAGUCGAACGAUGAAGCCCAGCUUGCUGGGUGGAUUAGUGGCGAACGGGUGAGUAACACGUGAGUAACCUGCCCUUAACUCUGGGAUAAGCCUGGGAAACUGGGUCUAAUACCGGAUAGGAGCGUCCACCGCAUGGUGGGUGUUGGAAAGAUUUAUCGGUUUUGGAUGGACUCGCGGCCUAUCAGCUUGUUGGUGAGGUAAUGGCUCACCAAGGCGACGACGGGUAGCCGGCCUGAGAGGGUGACCGGCCACACUGGGACUGAGACACGGCCCAGACUCCUACGGGAGGCAGCAGUGGGGAAUAUUGCACAAUGGGCGCAAGCCUGAUGCAGCGACGCCGCGUGAGGGAUGACGGCCUUCGGGUUGUAAACCUCUUUCAGUAGGGAAGAAGCGAAAGUGACGGUACCUGCAGAAGAAGCACCGGCUAACUACGUG